rnacentral:rRNA from 1 species
AUUGAACGCUGGCGGCAGGCCUAACACAUGCAAGUCGAGCGGUAACAGAAAAGAAGCUUGCUUCUUUUGCUGACGAGCGGCGGACGGGUGAGUAAUGCCUGGGAAUAUACCCUGAUGUGGGGGAUAACUAUUGGAAACGAUAGCUAAUACCGCAUAAUCUCUUCGGAGCAAAGAGGGGGACCUUCGGGCCUCUCGCGUCAGGAUUAGCCCAGGUGGGAUUAGCUAGUUGGUGGGGUAAUGGCUCACCAAGGCGACGAUCCCUAGCUGGUCUGAGGGGAUGAUCAGCCACACUGGAACUGAGACACGGUCCAGACUCCUACGGGAGGCAGCAGUGGGGAAUAUUGCACAAUGGGGGAAACCCUGAUGCAGCCAUGCCGCGUGUAUGAAGAAGGCCUUCGGGUUGUAAAGUACUUUCAGUUGUGAGGAAGGCGUUGAAGUUAAUAGCUUCAGCGCUUGACGUUAGCAACAGAAGAAGCACCGGCUAACUCCGUGCCAGCAGCCGCGGUAAUACGGAGGGUGCGAGCGUUAAUCGGAAUUACUGGGCGUAAAGCGCAUGCAGGCGGUCUGUUAAGCAAGAUGUGAAAGCCCGGGGCUCAACCUCGGAACAGCAUUUUGAACUGGCAGACUAGAGUCCUGUAGAGGGGGGUAGAAUUUCA